rnacentral:rRNA from 1 species
UACGUAGGGUGCAAGCGUUAAUCGGAAUUACUGGGCGUAAAGCGUGCGCAGGCGGUUCUAUAAGACAGAUGUGAAAUCCCCGGGCUCAACCUGGGAACUGCAUUUGUGACUGUAGAGCUGGAGUGCGGCAGAGGGGGAUGGAAUUCCGCGUGUAGCAGUGAAAUGCGUAGAUAUGCGGAGGAACACCGAUGGCGAAGGCAGCUCACUGGGGCGGUACUGACGCUGAGACGCGAAAGCGUGGGGAGCAAACAGG